rnacentral:rRNA from 1 species
AGAGAGAGACAUGCGCGCAUAUCAAUAAGCGGAGGAAAAGAAACUAACAAGGAUUCCCUUAGUAACGGCGAGUGAAGCGGGAAGAGCUCAAAUUGGAAAUCUUCAAGGUUUUACCUUGACGAAUUGUAGUUUAAAGAAGUGUUUUCUGCUGAAGUUUUGGUAAAAGUUCUUUGGAAUAGGACAUCAUAGAGGGUGAGAAUCCCGUAUUUGACCAUUAUUUUCAGCUUUGUGAUACACUUUCAAAGAGUCGGAUUGCUUGGGAAUGCAGUCCAAAAUGGGUGGUAAAUUUCAUCUAAAGCUAAAUAUUGGCGAGAGACCGAUAGCGAACAAGUACCGUGAGGGAAAGAUGAAAAGAACUUUGAAAAGAGAGUUAAACAGUACGUGAAAUUGUCAAAAGGGAAGCGUUCGACACCAGUGUUGUUUUCUCGAAAAUCAAUUAAAAAUGGCUCGAUUUUGUAUUGCUGAGACCUUAAAAGCUCACUGUACACUUUUCGUGUCUUUUUUAAUGCACUUUUCGUUUAACAAGUCAACAUCAGUUUCUUUUGUUGUAAAAGGGUCAUUGGAAGGUGGCUUUCUUUUCGGAGAAAGUGUUUAUAGCCUUUGGCCUCUGCAAUCGAAGAGACUGAGGUCUGCAGCGUAGACUCUUCGGGGUUAGAUACAUUUGUGCUAAGUUAUAGCUUUUUAUAGACAACUUGUUGACUAUAAUUAGUCUUGUAGCUUACUCGCUUAUGCUAUUUUACCUACGCUUAGGAUGUUGAGUCGUAGAGCACGCAG